GCCGUUGUAGCUCAGUUGGUAGAGCAAUUGAUUCGUAAUCAAAAGGUCAUGUGUUCGAUUCACAUCAGCGGCA
rnacentral:tRNA from 1 species